CCUGCAGCCAAACAAUGAAAUUGAUCUUACAGUACAAACGCUGUAAUAAAACUAUAAGACGAGAAGACCCUGUGGAGCUUUAAAUUUAUACAUUAACCUGAUACUAACCGUAUACAACAUAAUGUAAAUUUUAAGUUGGGGUGACUGUGGAGUAAAAAUAAACCUCCAUAUAAUAACGGCUAAACCCCGUAACACCAGGCUUACAAGCCUAACCAAAACAUUUUGACCCAGUCAAACUGAAUACUGAACCAAGUUACCCCAGGGAUAACAGCGCUAUCCCCUUAAAGAGUUCACAUCGCCAGGGGGGUUUACGACCUCGAUGUUGGAUCAGGACUUCCCAGUGGUGUAGCCGCUACUAAAGGUUCGUUUGUUCAACGAA
rnacentral:rRNA from 1 species